rnacentral:rRNA from 1 species
UGGGGAAUAUUGCACAAUGGCGGGAACUCUGAUGCAGCGACGCCGCGUGAACGAAGAAGGCUUUCGAGUCGUAAAGUUCUUUUAUAUGGGAAGAUAAUGACGGUACCAUAAGAAAAAGCCCCGGCUAACUACGUGCCAGCAGCCGCGGUAAUACGUAGGGGGCUAGCGUUGUCCGGAAUCACUGGGCGUAAAGGGUUCGCAGGCGGAAAUGCAAGUCAGGUGUAAAAGGCAGUAGCUUAACUACUGUAAGCAUUUGAAACUGCAUAUCUUGAGAAGAGUAGAGGUAAGUGGAAUUUUUAGUGUAGCGGUGAAAUGCGUCGGUAAUAAAAAGAAUACCGGUGGCGAAGGCGACUUACUGGACUAAAAAUGAAGCAGAGGAACGAAAGCGGGGGCAGCAAACAGG